rnacentral:rRNA from 1 species
GAUGAACGCUGGCGGCGUGCCUAAUACAUGCAAGUCGAGCGAAUGGAUUAAGAGCUUGCUCUUAUGAAGUUAGCGGCGGACGGGUGAGUAACACGUGGGUAACCUGCCCAUAAGACUGGGAUAACUCCGGGAAACCGGGGCUAAUACCGGGUAACAUUUUGAACCGCAUGGUUCGAAAUAGAAAGGCGGCUUCGGCUGUCACUUAUGGAUGGACCCGCGUCGCAUUAGCUAGUUGGUGAGGUAACGGCUCACCAAGGCAACGAUGCGUAGCCGACCUGAGAGGGUGAUCGGCCACACUGGGACUGAGACACGGCCCAGACUCCUACGGGAGGCAGCAGUAGGGAAUCUUCCGCAAUGGACGAAAGUCUGACGGAGCAACGCCGCGUGAGUGAUGAAGGCUUUCGGGUCGUAAAACUCUGUUGUUAGGGAAGAACAAGUGCUAGUUGAAUAAGCUGACACCUUGACGGUACCUAACCAGAAAGCCACGGCUAACUACGUGCCAGCCGCCGCUGUAA